UAGGAAACAUUCUUUCACCUGUGUCUGCUU
rnacentral:piRNA from 1 species